rnacentral:rRNA from 1 species
AAUCAACGCUGGCGGCGUGCCUAACACAUGCAAGUCGAACGCGAAAACCCCGCAAGGGGUUAGUAGAGUGGCAAACGGGUGAGUAACACGUGGGUGACCUGCCUUCGAGUGGGGGAUAACGUCCCGAAAGGGACGCUAAUACCGCAUGACAUCCUGCUUUUGGAAAAGCGGAGAUCAAAGCUGGGGAUUCGCAAGAACCUGGCGCUUGAAGAGGGGCCCGCGCCUGAUUAGCAGUUGGUAGGGUAACGGCCUACCAAGGCGACGAUCAGUAUCCGGCCUGAGAGGGCGGACGGACACACUGGGACUGAGACACGGCCCAGACUCCUACGGGAGGCAGCAGUGGGGAAUUGUUCGCAAUGGGCGAAAGCCUGACGACGCAACGCCGCGUGGAGGACGAAGAUCUUCGGGUCGUAAACUCCUGUCGAGUGGGAAGAUGGUUC